GCCGGUGUAGCUCAAUUGGUAGAGCAACUGAUUUGUAAUCAGUAGGUUGCGGGUUCGAGUCCCAUCGCCGGCUCCA
rnacentral:tRNA from 1 species